GCAAGAUCACGACCAAUGCGAUAACAAGCAGUGAAAUGUUAUUAUGCAGAAUUAAAUGAAAUGUUAUUCUGAAGCAGAAUAACAUUUCCAAUCUUGUCUUGUCGAUCCUUUGUAUUCCUUUGGCCUAGUACCCCAAGAUCACGCAUCCGAUUCCUGCUAUAAUGAUUCUGUUCAGUUCGGUUUAUCUCUUCUGCAAUCUCAUCACCAAGACUUUCCUUCUUUCUCAGAAUAAAACUCCAGCCCUGCCAAGGGGGAGGAGAAUGGCACCAAUUUUAAGUGGGGCUCAAGGUGACUCGAACCUUAACUUUUGGUUGGGGUGAUUCUUCGCAUUGCGCAUUACCUGUUUGAUGAUUUGCUCAAGAGAGAUUAUAUGUGGAUGGCUUUGUUUGGUGGCGUUACAACUUCUAAUGUCAGGGUAAUGAGUGAGAACUUAAAAGAUUAAGGAUGCUGAUGAUGAGUGAUGACACUAAUACUGCUGCUGCUUCUUAAUCUUAAUCUCGACGGCUGCUGUUAGUUGUUUGUUCUUCCACUUAUAAAAUUUCAUAGAUUCUAAGUCAAUCGCUCGAGUGAAAGGAACUUGAAAGGGCUGAGAUUUAACAAGAACAGUCCCAACCGUUGGGACAAUGAAAUGAAAGGAGUUUUUAUUGGGUGGGGAAGGAAUGGACCCAAUGUUUAAACUCACAUUUGUUGGACUUAGGAUCCUUUGCUUAUUUAACUGGAAGCUUUCUUUUCUAGUAACUAGCACUAUUUUUAUUAUUUCAGAAGCAAGGGAAGAAAUUUGUGCUUUGAUGCAAACUAUUGUUCAUAAAA